rnacentral:rRNA from 1 species
GACGAACGCUGGCGGCGUGCUUAACACAUGCAAGUCGAACGGAAAGGCCCUGCUUUUGUGGGGUGCUCGAGUGGCGAACGGGUGAGUAACACGUGAGUAACCUGCCCUUGACUUUGGGAUAACUUCAGGAAACUGGGGCUAAUACCGGAUAGGAGCUCCUGCUGCAUGGUGGGGGUUGGAAAGUUUCGGCGGCUGGGGAUGGACUCGCGGCUUAUCAGCUUGUUGGUGGGGUAGUGGCUUACCAAGGCUUUGACGGGUAGCCGGCCUGAGAGGGUGACCGGCCACAUUGGGACUGAGAUACGGCCCAGACUCCUACGGGAGGCAGCGGUGGGGAAUAUUGCACAAUGGGCGGAAGCCUGAUGCAGCAACGCCGCGUGCGGGAUGACGGCCUUCGGGUUGUAAACCGCUUUCGCCUGUGACGAAGCGUGAGUGACGGUAAUGGGUAAAGAAGCACCGGCUAACUACGUG